rnacentral:rRNA from 1 species
AGAGUUUGAUCCUGGCUCAGGAUGAACGCUGGCGGCGUGCCUAACACAUGCAAGUCGAACGAAGCGAUCUUAAUGAAGUUUUCGGAUGGAUUUGAGAUUGACUUAGUGGCGGACGGGUGAGUAACGCGUGGGUAACCUGCCUUGUACAGGGGGAUAACAGUUAGAAAUGACUGCUAAUACCGCAUAACCCGCUAAGGUCGCAUGACCUGGACGGAAAAGAUUUAUCGGUACAAGAUGGACCCGCGUCUGAUUAGCUAGUUGGUGAGGUGACGGCCCACCAAGGCGACGAUCAGUAGCCGGCCUGAGAGGGUGAACGGCCACAUUGGGACUGAGACACGGCCCAAACUCCUACGGGAGGCAGCAGUGGGGAAUAUUGCACAAUGGGGGAAACCCUGAUGCAGCAACGCCGCGUGAGUGAAGAAGUAUUUCGGUAUGUAAAGCUCUAUCAGCAGGGAAGAAAAUGACGGUACCUGACUAAGAAGCCCCGGCUAACUACGUGCCAGCAGCCGCGGUAAUACGUAGGGGGCAAGCGUUAUCCGGAUUUACUGGGUGUAAAGGGAGCGUAGACGGUUGUGCAAGUCUGAAGUGAAAGCCCGGGGCUCAACCCCGGGACUGCUUUGGAAACUGUAUAACUAGAGUGCAGGAGAGGUAAGCGGAAUUCCUAGUGUAGCGGUGAAAUGCGUAGAUANUAGGAGGAACACCAGUGGCGAAGGCGGCUUACUGGACUGUAACUGGCACUGAGGGUAGUACGCGUGGGGAGCAACAGGAUUAGAUACCAUGGUAGUCCACACUGUAGACGAUGAAUACUAGCUGUUGAUGAGCAGAGCUCAUCGCUGGCGCAGCUCACGCUAUAAGUAUUCCAUCUGGGGAGUACGUUCGCCAGAAUGAUACUCAAAGGAAUUGACGGGGACCCGCACAAGCGGUGGAGCACGUGGUCUAAUUCGAAGCUACGCGAAGAACGAUUAUUUGAUAUUGACAUCCCGAUGAACGACUCUGAACCGAGUGUUCUCUUGGGAGCAUCGGAGACAGAUGGUGCAUGGUUGUCCUCAGCCUUGGGUCGUGAGACGGUGGGUCAAGUCCCAACGAGGAGGGCAACCCUUAUAGUUAGUAGCCAGCGGUUCGCCCGGGCAGUCUAGAGCGUCUGCCAGGGAUUAAUUGGAGGAAGGUGGGGAUGACGUCGAAUCAUCAUGCCCCUUAUGAUCAGGGGUACACACGGGGUUACAAUGGCGUAACCAUAGGGUAGCAGAGCCAUGAGCCCGAGCAAAUCUCAUUAAUCACGUCUCACUCAGGAGUGUAGUAUGCAAGUUAGUCUACAAGACAUUGGAUCAGUUAGUAAUGAUGGAUCAGUAUGUCGCGGAGGAUAUGGUCACCGGGUCCUGUACACACCGCCAGUCA